rnacentral:ncRNA from 1 species
GGGAGCGCAGUACAACAGAGAGUUGUAUGCUGCGUUUGGUAAGGAUGAAUCGCUCCCAAAAAGGAAUCUAUUGAUUCUCUCCAAAUUGUUUAGAUCGCAGGUACAUUGAUUUACUUCAC